UAUCGCACGUGGUCUAGUGGCUAGGAUAUCUGGCUUUCUCCCAGAAGGCCCGGAUUCGAAUCAUAGCGUGGUAU